rnacentral:rRNA from 1 species
AACGAACGCUGGCGGCAUGCCUAACACAUGCAAGUCGAACGAGACCUUCGGGUCUAGUGGCGCACGGGUGCGUAACGCGUGGGAACCUGCCCUUAGGUUCGGAAUAACUCCCCGAAAGGGGUGCUAAUACCGGAUAAUGUCUUCGGACCAAGGAUUUAUCGCCUUUGGAUGGGCCCGCGUUGGAUUAGCUAGUUGGUAGGGUAAAAGCCUACCAAGGCGACGAUCCAUAGCUGGUCUGAGAGGAUGAUCAGCCACACUGGGACUGAGACACGGCCCAGACUCCUACGGGAGGCAGCAGUGGGGAAUAUUGGACAAUGGGCGAAAGCAUGAUCCAGCAAUGCCGCGUGAGUGAUGAAGGCCUUAGGGUUGUAAAGCUCUUUUAACCGGGAUGAUAAUGACAGUACCGGGAGAAUAAGCUCCGGCUAACUCCGUG